rnacentral:lncRNA from 1 species
AGCGAAGUUAUCCCGCAACAAGGACUUUCCCACCUACGAAGGCCCUCUUAACCCCAGAGAGAUCCAGAGUGCCGAAGAAUACUGUCUAAAGAUUGCCCAAAUCGACCUUAUGAAGCGGAUGAAGAAAGGAGACUUUAAAACGUUAACCCCAUUCGUAGAUCCAAAAGGUAUCAUCCGAGUUGGUGGUCGUGUCAACCCAAGUCUUGUAUCUUACGAUAACACACGCCCGGCCCUGUUGCCUCGAAAGCAUUGGAUUUCUGUACUCGUCAUACGCAAUGCCCACCAAAUCAGCCAUUCAGGCGUUGACACCACAACCGCAAGAACCAGAAGAAAAUAUUGGGUGAUCCGAGGUCACGACGUCGCCAAAGCAGAGAAAAAUCGUUGUACUUUAUGUAGAAAGAUCGAAGCCAAAGUAGAGGACCAGUUUAUGGCCAACUUUGGUCCAAUAAAGGUGAAAGUCGGAAGAAAUAAAACGACAAAACAUUACGGAGUUAUAUUUACGUGCACGAACACGCGAGCUGUUCAUUGCGACCUCGCUGUCGACGCAAGUGCGAUG